CCCCAUCGCCCUGCAAGACAAAGUUCUGGCAGAACUGCAGCGCAUGGAGCAGCAGGGCGUCAUUACAAAGGCGGAGGUUCGCUACUUGGGACACAUCCUCACUACGCAAGGCCUGCGCAUCGACCCGGAGCGUGUUCAGGACAUUCUGGAAAUACCCGAGCCUAAGACCAAGACGGCGUGGCCGGAGCACAAGCAUGGUGUCCCAGAGCCGGGAAG